rnacentral:rRNA from 1 species
CCUACGGGCGGCAGCAGUGGGGAAUAUUGGACAAUGGGGGAAACCCUGAUGCAGCGACGCCGCGUGAGUGAAGAAGUAUUUCGGUACGUAAAGCCCUAUCAGCAGGGAAGAAAAUGACGGUAUCUGACGAAGAAGCCCCGGCUAACUACGUGCCAGCAGCCGCGGUAAUACGUAGGGGGCAAGCGUUAUCCGGAUUUACUGGGCGUAAAGGGCGCGUAGACGGCAGAGCAAGUCUGGUGUGAAAUGCCAGGGCUCAACCCUGGAACUGCACUUGAAACUGUUAAGCUGGAGUGCAGGAGAGGUAGGUGGAAUUCCUGGUGUAGCGGUGAAAUGCGUAGAUAUCAGGAGGAACAC